UGUUGUUGAAUUGUCUUUGCGCAGGUGUUCUAUUACGAAAUCCUGAACAGUCCGGACCGCGCGUGUCGGCUGGCGAAGGCGGCGUUCGACGACGCGAUCGCAGAACUGGACACGUUGUCGGAGGAGAGCUACAAGGACUCCACGCUCAUCAUGCAGCUGCUGCGGGACAACCUCACGCUGUGGACGUCCGACAUGCAGGGCGACGGCGAGUCCGGUGAAACCGAACAAAAGGAGCAGCCCCAAGACGUGGAAGAUCAGGAUGUGUCGUAAUACUUUUUAACAUUCUAUUUAAAUAUAAUAAAAAAAAUAACUAUAGUAUCACGUAAGACCCAGCCCCCAAUGACAACCGGUUGUAUGGUACUCCUCCACACAUCUCGCCCCCCGACGUAAAUUGUCAGUUCCAGCCCCGUUGUACACAUAACAUGCAUAUUGUAUACAUGAUAACGUUUCGUUUAUGUAUCGUGUCAAAUUAUCUACGAGUUAUAUACAUUAAUAUGUACUUCUUUUGAUAUAUUUGUUUUCAAUUACGAAAAAAAAUAAUGUUUAAGAAAAAAGUA